ACCGUUGAACAACGCGCAGCGCGCGCCUAUAUUCAACCUGUUCCGCAAGGAACUAUGGACAUAAACGCGCGUGAAAUAAACGGAUCGGACCCGGGGGCGGUACCCGGCGGCUCCACCAAAUUCCUUCGUUGGGGGAUCAUGGGGCCGAAAUAGGAUCGACGAACGCGUAAAGACGUUGCUUUGUCCCGGUGAGGUACCACCGUUAUCGGUCCGUAAAGCAUAAUUGCCAACGACAAUCGUGCUCCGGUUGCUCUGGCUGCGUAAGCAGUCCGAAAAACCGAAAACUAAGCCCUUGCGCCUAGCAGCGUAAGGCGGGGUUCGCAGGCACCUGGCAACAGAAGCCUGCACC
rnacentral:tmRNA from 1 species